CAUCGGGCCAAGAAGAGCGGGUAUUACUGUAAUAUCCCUCGCUUUUAAAAAUUAUUAAUAAAGAUUUAUAUGUAAAUUGGAGGACCUAUAUGUAAAUAUAGAAAUUACAAGGACUAAACUGCUAAGUUGCAAAAAAAGAAAAAAAAAAGGGAAAACCGAAAAUUCGGUAUUAUCCCACCGCCUCCCACGCACUCUGUUUCUUCCAGAAACAGAGAGAGCGGUGGGGCGUGAGGAGAAGAAGGAGAGUGGUAGAAGAAGAGAGGAAGAAGAGGGAGAAGAGAAGAAAAAGAAGAAGAAGAAGAAGAAGAAGAAGAGGGAAAAGAAGAGAGGAGGAAGAAGAGGGAGUAGAGAAGAAGAAGAAGGAGAAGAAGAAGAAGAGGAGGUGGCUGCAGCGAGGGCUGCAGCGAGAAGCUGUGGGGCGUGGGGAGAAGAAGAGAGGAAGAAGAGGGAGAAGAGAAGAAGAAGAAGAAGAAGAAGAGAAGAGGAUAGCUGCGGCAAGGCUGCAGCGAGGAGGUGUGUGGGGUUGGGGAGGAAAAGGGAAGAGGAGAAGAAGAGGGAAAAGAGAGGGAAGAGGGAGAGGAGCGAGAGGUGGCAGCAGCUAGGGCUGCAGCACCUCUGUUUCCUGCAGGUGGAAACAGAGGAGAGGUGUGGGGCGUUCGAAGAGGAGAAGAAGAAGAAGAGGAAGAGAAGAGGAAGAGGAAGCAGAGGAAGAGGUUGUGAUACCUCUGUUUCCUGCAGAGGAAACAGAGGAGAGGGUGUGGGUGACGUCGGGGAGAAGAAGGGGAGGAAGGAGAAGAAGAGAAGAAGAAGAAAGGAAGGAAAAGGAAGAGGAGAAGGGAAGAAAAUAGCUGCGGCUGCGGUUGUGGCAGCUGCAGCUGUGGCAGGGAAAGAAGAAGAGAAAGGAAGAAGGGGAGGAGAGGAAGAAGAGUAGGGGCUGCGGCUGCGGCGAUGGCAGCUGCAGUUGGAAGAGAAGAAGGAGAGGAAGAUGAGCAGGGGAGGAAGAAAAGGUUGUGGCCGUGGCUGAGGCUGCGACUGCAGCAUGCAGCUGGGAAAGAAGAGAAGGAAAGGAAGAAGAAGAGAAAGGAAGAAGGGAAGGAGAGAGAGAAGAGAAGGGGCUACGGCUGCGGCGAUGGCAGCUGCAGUUGGAAGAGAAGAAGGAGAGGAAGAUGAGCAGGGGAGGAAGAAGAGGCUGCGAGUGUGGUGGCUGCGGCCGUGGCUGCGACUCCGGCUGCGGCUGCAACGUUGGCUGCGGUAGCUGCGGCAGCGGUGGUGGCUGCAGUAGCUGCAGUAGCUGCUUUUGGGAAAGAGAAAGAGUAGGAACGAGAGAAGGGAAGAAGGAAAUAGUGCAGUGGAAGGGGGCUGCGGUUGUGACCGCAGUUGCGGUCGUGGCUGCGAUUGUGGCAGCGGCAGCGACGGCGGCUGUGGCAGCUGCGUUUGGGAAAGAAAAAAAAAAAAGGAAUGAGAGUAAGAGAGAGCAGGUGACUGUGCCUCGAUGUUCGACACGUGGUGUAGUUGCGAAGAAAGGAAGAAAACGGGAGCACAAAACGAAACAGAGAGAGGACACGGAGAAAAAGUAGAAGGAUUUGGGCUGGCACCUUCUUUGGAAUUUCGGAUCGAAAUCAUUGAAAGGCAAGUUUUCUGAUUCUUCCUAUUGCAAGUUUCCCGCUUGUUUCAAUCCUUUCUAUUGCAAGUUCCCUGUUCGUUUCUCCUAUAAUUGCUCUGAUAUGCCUUAUUGCAAGUUCCCUGAUCGUUUUUCCUAUAAUUGCUCUUAUAUGUCUUAUUGCAAGUAUCCUGAUCUUUCCUCAUUGCCAUUUUUAUCUCUACAUUUGCUUUGGUUAUGAGGAACUUUGAAUUGUACUAGCCUUGCAUUUGUUAUAUCUCCUGUUUACAUGUAACGAUUCGAAUCUGUGCAACUUUUGAGAUUCUGAUCUUUUGAUACCGAACUGCCUAUAAGACUUUGUGGUAACUCUGAUUUGUUCAAAACUGAUUUCAUUGGAAACUAGACUCGUAGACCUUUCUUUGAUAUAUGGAUUGAAAGAUCUGAAAUCCAAACACCUGCCCAGUUAUCUGUUGAAUCUGACAUUAUGAAUUCUGCCAACAGAGAUUUUGUUCUAUGACUCUUGCUUACCAAAUUAUUUGUAACUCUCUCUGUUGGACAAUUCAAUUCAUAUGAAGCCUGUCUUAUCUGAAAGUAUUAUCCAAUGAUUAUUUCUGAGUAAAUUGGAGCACGAUUGAUAGUUUGAAUCAUUUGUUCAAUGUGCCUUCUGUAUUCUGCCAGAAAUCGAGCUUUGGUCGAUUUCUCAUAUUCUGGUUUCAUUCCUUUGGAAAUUGAUAUCCUUUAGCCUUCUUAUUCAAUUGAGCUUUAUAUUACUACUUUGAAUUCUUGUAUGCUCUUGUCCUUAAAAUUAUUGCAUUCUUGAAAACUGUUGUGUAACGUUUAUGCUAUAUCGUAUUGACUCAUAUAGGCACAUGUAUAUCCUAUUGUUCCGCAUUUGCUUUCGAUAUGUGCCUAUUCCAGUUUCAUUUCCUUUGGACAUUGAAUUCAUCAAAUAUUCUUAUUGAAUUGAGUUAUUUGUGAUUGCUUGGAUUCCAUAUGUGCCCUUGCUUUCAAUUCCCUUCAAAUCUGAAUAUACUUGUGAAAGAUUAUUGCUUACUUCGGAUUGACUCGUAAAGGCACAUGUACGUUUGUUGUUCCGCGUGUGCUUCCGAUAUAUGCUACUUAUUGUUGAAACUGUCCUUUUGUACUCUGGUGUGUGGGAUUGUCUGGACCUUUGCCAGAAAUGGUAAAGGGUAUGCGCUGAUUUGCCCGCUAUGUGGGGUCCCGCUACGUGGGAUAUUCUGGUAUGCGCUUAUUUGCCCGCUAUGUGGGGUCCCGCUAUGUGGGAUAUUGCUUAGAGCCUGCGAUGCUCUGCCGGCCCCCUUUGACUUCACCUAGACGUGGGUGGAUGGAGCUCCCAGACGUGGGAGACUUUUGUCAGGUGGUCAUUCAGAAAUGGAUGAAUCACAUUCUGACUGAGAUCCCACUACACCUUCUGUAUGUUUGAUAUGAUAUCCAGAGCUUUGGUUAUGUGUUUCUGUAUAUGCUUUGGAUAAGAUUGAUAUGUUUGCAACGUCAAAGACGACGUUUGAGCUUCUGUACGAUAUUUGUUUUCGAUAUGCUCUGAAAUGCUUCAUUCACUGAUGAUAUGCUUCGAAAUGUUUCAUAUGCCGUUGAUAUGCUCCGGAACAUUUCAUAUGCCAUUGAUAUGCUCCAAUUACUCUGUGCUCCAUUUGCUAUGAACUGAUAUGUUCUGAAAUGUCCUAUCUGCCAUUGAUAUGUUCCAAUUACUCUGUGCUCCAUUUGCUAUGAACUGAUAUGUUCUGAAAUGUCCUAUCUGCCAUUGAUAUGUUCCAAUUACUCUGUGCUCCAUUGCUAUGAACUGAUAUGUUCUGAAAUGUCCUAUCUGCCAUUGAUAUGUUCCAAUUACUCUGUGCUCCAUUUGCUAUGAACAGAUAUGUUCUGAAAUGUCCUAUCUGCCAUUGAUAUGUUCCAAUUACUCUGUGCUCCAUUUGCUAUGAACUGAUAUGUUCUGAAAUGUCCUAUUUGCCAUUGAUAUGUUCCAAUUACUCUAUGCCUCAUUCGUUAUGGAUCAAAUAUGUUUUGAAUGACAUGAUAUGUAUGAUUUGGUAUCUAUUGAGAUGGUAUCCUUGAGAAUUCUUGUAUUCUGCCUUGCAUUAUGAUACCUUACUCGUUUGAAACCGUUCCUUUUGUUCUGAAUAUGCUUUGUCACUUGCUGAGCCGUUUUUGGCUCACUCCGUUGUUAUAUAAAUCUUUCAAGUCAACUUGUCACUCCUCGAGAUGUUUGAUUUGGGCUGAGGCAGUGGAUAGCUAUUCAGAAUAAUGGGCAAGUCUGGUUGGUUAUUACGAUAUUGUUGUAUAAGUAUGUCUUGUAUGUAAUGAAAUGUUGUCGAUGAACCGAAAUGGAUACACUGUGUCAAAGUGUUAGGAGAUCUCUCUUAUUUGGAAUUUCAGAAUGUUAAGUCUAAUUUAUGGUGAUAUGAACUUGUGGUGAAUAGUUGGAGUUCUGAUUGUAUAAUUUAUUUAGCUUGUGGAUUUAUAAAUGUUGUUCAUGUUUGUCAAGUUGGCUUGGGUUGCCAUAAAUGUGAAUUAUCGAGUGAUGUGAUAUAUGAUAAUAAACUGCACAGGUUUUAUGGAUGUGAAUAUGAAUAGAAUGUUUUCAGUGUCCUCAAACGUUAGUUUGGAUCCUGGAUUGGUCUGUGACGAAAUUUAAAAAAAAAAAUCAUGGAUAUUUUGAGGGGCGUGACAGAGGUGGUAUCAGAGCAUUGUUUGAGGAUUACUGAAAUAUUUGAUAUGUUGAUGUGCAAAAUAUAUUGAGGUCUAAUGAACUAUAGUGAUUAGUGGAAAUUUUCUUUGAUGUAUUUUAGGAAUCUGGGAUGAUGAGGACAUUUGGUCCUCCUAUUUCAUUGUUUCUGAUUAAUUAAGGGGAAUGAAAGGAUUGAUUGGGGAUAUUGAAUCAGAGUGGCGCAGCAGAAGCAUGGUGGACCUAAUUUCAUUGGUGGUAGAAAAAUGAAUGAUGCAAACAGAGAAGAUAUUUGAUGUACAAAAUUGUUUUGAUGAUCAAAAGAUUUCUUUUGCCACCUUAUAUUGGAAGUAGAGGCUGAUUAUUAUUGGCAACACUGAAAAGAAUUUUUGGAGAUCAGUGACAAGAAUGAUAAGGACAAGUUUACCAAUAAGAAUAUGAUUGGAAAUGAAUCAGAAAGUAAUGACAAGAGGGUCAAGACAUUUGGAUUUGAAAAGGAAAGUCACCACCAAAGACUUAAUCAUGUGUGAAGUACAAGUUAAAUUAUGAAACAAGUUUGUGUUUUCGGGUGAUUGGAGUCUAUUUUGCUUGUAGAAAGUUGGAUCAUAAAAUAAAAGUUUGCCCUUUGAACAAGAAGAAAGAGUCACUGCCUCCUAAAUCAUCAGCCCAUGUAAGAGUGUAUGCUAUCACUAAAUAUGAUUCUGAAACUUCUGAAUUAGUGGUCAAAGGUAUUAUGCAUGUUUAUGAAAGAAUGCAAAUAUUUGUUUGACCAUGGGUCCCAUCUAUGAUUUGAUUCGGAAUAUUCUGCCUAUCACUUGGGUAUUCAACCUAGACCACUACAUUAUGUGCUAUAUGUAAAUACGAUCAUUGGAGAUUCUUUGAUAACGAACUUGAAUCUGGUCCUCUUGUCUGAUUUUUGUUGGAGAACUUGAACUUUUGCUGAUUUAGUUCUCCUAGAGAUUUGGAGUUAUGAUAUUAUACUUGGUAUGGAUUGGCCAUCUUCUUAUCAUACCAGUAUGGAUUGAUAUAUAACAAAUGAUCACUUUUUGUAUAUUUGAUCAGUCGAUCUUUUACUUUGAGAGUAUGGGUCAUGAUUUAUCUCCUUACCUAAUGUAUCCAGGAUGACUUGCUUGGAUUACCUCCAAAUGUGACUUUGCUUUUGAUUUGGUCAUUGGGAUAAUCCCAAUAUCUAAGCCUCUCUACAGAAAGAUAUCAUUUGAGUAAGUGGAAUUGGAAAAGCAACUACAAGGAUUGUUAAAUGAGGAUUUUAUUUGGCUUAAUAUUUCAUCAUGGGGUGCUCCGGUGUUAGUUAAAAGAAAUGUAUGGAACAUUGAGGCUUCGUAAUGAUUAUAGACAGUUGAAUUAGGUGACCAUCAAAAACGAGUAUUUUCUGAAGUAACGACUUGCUCGAUUAAUUACAGGGUACGCAAGUAUUUUUAAAAAUUGAUUGAAGGUCGGGUUACCGUCUAUUGAGGAUCAAGGAGGAGAAUAUUUCGGUCACUCGUGGAUAAUUAUGUAAUUGUAUUGUAUUGAUGAAACUAUUUAAGAGUAGGAGGAGGAAAUAAAGAUAUCAUAAUCCUCAUCUUUUCAUCGAUUGAGCUAUGAUCAAUUUAGAGGACUAAAUUUUCUUUUAAGGAGGGGAGAGUGUAAUAUCCCUCGCUUUUAAAAAUUAUUAAUAAAGAUUUAUAUGUAAAUUGGAGGACCUAUAUGUAAAUAUAGAAAUUACAAGGACUAAACUGCUAAGUUGCAAAAAAAGAAAAAAAAAGGGAAAACCGAAAAUUCGGUAUUAUCCCACCGCCUCCCACGCACUCUGUUUCUUCCAGAAACAGAGAGAGCGGUGGGGCGUGAGGAGAAGAAGGAGAGUGGUAGAAGAAGAGAGGAAGAAGAGGGAGAAGAGAAGAAAAAGAAGAAGAAGAAGAAGAAGAAGAAGAAGAGGGAAAAGAAGAGAGGAGGAAGAAGAGGGAGUAGAGAAGAAGAAGAAGGAGAAGAAGAAGAAGAGGAGGUGGCUGCAGCGAGGGCUGCAGCGAGAAGCUGUGGGGCGUGGGGAGAAGAAGAGAGGAAGAAGAGGGAGAAGAGAAGAAGAAGAAGAAGAAGAAGAGAAGAGGAUAGCUGCGGCAAGGCUGCAGCGAGGAGGUGUGUGGGGUUGGGGAGGAAAAGGGAAGAGGAGAAGAAGAGGGAAAAGAGAGGGAAGAGGGAGAGGAGCGAGAGGUGGCAGCAGCUAGGGCUGCAGCACCUCUGUUUCCUGCAGGUGGAAACAGAGGAGAGGUGUGGGGCGUUCGAAGAGGAGAAGAAGAAGAAGAGGAAGAGAAGAGGAAGAGGAAGCAGAGGAAGAGGUUGUGAUACCUCUGUUUCCUGCAGAGGAAACAGAGGAGAGGGUGUGGGUGACGUCGGGGAGAAGAAGGGGAGGAAGGAGAAGAAGAGAAGAAGAAGAAAGGAAGGAAAAGGAAGAGGAGAAGGGAAGAAAAUAGCUGCGGCUGCGGUUGUGGCAGCUGCAGCUGUGGCAGGGAAAGAAGAAGAGAAAGGAAGAAGGGGAGGAGAGGAAGAAGAGUAGGGGCUGCGGCUGCGGCGAUGGCAGCUGCAGUUGGAAGAGAAGAAGGAGAGGAAGAUGAGCAGGGGAGGAAGAAAAGGCUGUGGCCGUGGCAGAGGCUGCGACUGCAGCAUGCAGCUAGGAAAGAAGAGAAGGAAAGGAAGAAGAAGAGAAAGGAAGAAGGGAAGGAGAGGAAGAAGAGAAGGGGCUACGGCUGCGGCGAUGGCAGCUGCAGUUGGAAGAGAAGAAGGAGAGGAAGAUGAGCAGGGGAGGAAGAAGAGGCUGCGAGUGUGGUGGCUGCGGCCGUGGCUGCGACUCCGGCUGCGGCUGCAACGUUGGCUGCGGUAGCUGCGGCAGCGGUGGUGGCUGCAGUAGCUGCAGUAGCUGCUUUUGGGAAAGAGAAAGAGUAGGAACGAGAGAAGGGAAGAAGGAAAUAGUGCAGUGGAAGGGGGCUGCGGUUGUGACCGCAGUUGCGGUCGUGGCUGCGAUUGUGGCAACGGCAGCGACGACGGCUGUGGCAGCUGCGUUUGGGAAAGAAAAAAAAAAAAGGAAUGAGAGUAAGAGAGAGCAGGUGACUGUGCCUCGAUUUUCGACACGUGGUGUAGUUGCGAAGAAAGGAAGAAAACGGGAGCACAAAACGAAACAGAGAGAGGACACGGAGAAAAAGUAGAAGGAUUUGGGCUGGCACCUUCUUUGGAAUUUCGGAUCGAAAUCAUUGAAAGGUCAACUUGUCACUCCUCGAGAUGUUUGAUUUGGGCUGAGGCAGUGGAUAGCUAUUCAGAAUAAUGGGCAAGUCUGGUUGGUUAUUACGAUAUUGUUGUAUAAGUAUGUCUUGUAUGUAAUGAAAUGUUGUCGAUGAACCGAAAUGGAUACACUGUGUCAAAGUGUUAGGAGAUCUCUCUUAUUUGGAAUUUCAGAAUGUUAAGUCUAAUUUAUGGUGAUAUGAACUUGUGGUGAAUAGUUGGAGUUCUGAUUGUAUAAUUUAUUUAGCUUGUGGAUUUAUAAAUGUUGUUCAUGUUUGUCAA